AGCCUGGGGCAAGUUCUGGAGCAAGCUGAGCCUCAGCUGCACUGUGGCUUCCCAACGCUUUUGUCUGCUUCUACUCUGACAAUCUGAAAUAGCUCCAGAAUGGCAAAACAUUCCGAAAAGAGAAUGCUGAAGUGAAAGCGUCUGAUUUCUUUGAUGAAAAAUUCAGCGCCGAGUCCUCAAUAAUGCUGGUACUUAUUUUGAAACAGUAAGCUCCUGCAAACCGACUGCUUUCUUGGCUCAUCUAGCCUGGCCAGA